CCCCGGUAAACGGCGGCCGUAACUAUAACGGUCCUAAGGUAGCGAAAUUCCUUGUCGGGUAAGUUCCGACCUGCACGAAUGGCGUAAUGAUGGCCAGGCUGUCUCCACCCGAGACUCAGUGAAAUUGAACUCGCUGUGAAGAUGCAGUGUACCCGCGGCAAGACGGAAAGACCCCGUGAACCUUUACUAUAGCUUGACACUGAACAUUGAGCCUUGAUGUGUAGGAUAGGUGGGAGGCUUUGAAGUGUGGACGCCAGUCUGCAUGGAGCCGACCUUGAAAUACCACCCUUUAAUGUUUGAUGUUCUAACGUGGACCCGUAAUCCGGGUUGCGGACAGUGUCUGGUGGGUAGUUUGACUGGGGCGGUCUCCUCCUAAAGAGUAACGGAGGAGCACGAAGGUUGGCUAAUCCUGGUCGGACAUCAGGAGGUUAGUGCAAUGGCAUAAGCCAGCUUGACUGCGAGCGUGACGGCGCGAGCAGGUGCGAAAGCAGGUCAUAGUGAUCCGGUGGUUCUGAAUGGAAGGGCCAUCGCUCAACGGAUAAAAGGUACUCCGGGGAUAACAGGCUGAUACCGCCCAAGAGUUCAUAUCGACGGCGGUGUUUGGCACCUCGAUGUCGGCUCAUCACAUCCUGGGGCUGAAGUAGGUCCCAAGGGUAUGGCUGUUCGCCAUUUAAAGUGGUACGCGAGCUGGGUUUAGAACGUCGUGAGACAGUUCGGUCCCUAUCUGCCGUGGGCGCUGGAGAACUGAGGGGGGCUGCUCCUAGUACGAGAGGACCGGAGUGGACGCAUCACUGGUGUUCGGGUUGUCAUGCCAAUGGCAC
rnacentral:rRNA from 1 species